rnacentral:misc_RNA from 1 species
AUAAUCAUACACUUUUAUUAUUUUCUCUCUAAAUUGGAGAGUAAAUAAUAAGAAAAAAAUAAGAGUUAUUUUUCCUCUGUCUUCUUAUUUUCCCUUCAUCUCUAAAUAAGAAAAAAUGCUAAUCCUAAUUUAUUUUCUCUUAUUUAUUUUCUUUCCUUCCCCUUCUCCCCGUAUCUAAACAGAGUGUAGAACGCUAUACCGACGCACAGCAGAACCAUGUUGCAAAUAGCCCAAACCAAGCUAAAAAAAAAACAACGGCGAAAAACCAAAAACAAAUAAAAAAAAGAGCUGCAAGAUAAAUUAAAAAGACGCUCCGAUAUGGAUCAAAAAGUGGCAAUCAACUCCGAAUCAAGGGCAAGACCUUCCUUAGCCAAAGAGUCAGCAAUAGAGUUAGCCUCAUGGAGAACAUGGGAGACCACCACUGGUGGGAGGGCCUUUAGGAGAAUGAAAUCUCAUUCACAACAAAGGAGAGCUUCCAUGGAGUAGAAACAAGAUCCAAUACCUAGGAGAUGACAUUUUUUGCAUCGGAUUCCAACAGGAUAAAGGAAGAACUACCCUUCGAAAAGGGCAAAGAUAAAGAGAUAGCCAGGGCCUUACAAAUAGAAACCAAUUCCGUUGAAUUAGAAUCCAUAUAACCAAUAGGACAAGAGAAAAUACAACGGAAGAAACCUUUAGAGUCUCGCAGAACACUACUGAUGGCACUCAUACCAGCAUCCUGAAAGAGGAACCAUCAACAUUCCACUUAAAACUCGAAGAAAUUGGUACAGACCAAGAAGUGGCUCUACGAAGCUUUGGUGGAUUAGACCCCAAUCUUAUAUAUUCUAAGGUAACCAGAAGAUUCAUAGCAAAUAAUAGGAAAUUAGAGUCUAAUGCCUUCAUUCAUAUUGAGAGGCAAAGGAGCAUAAAAACACACAUAUCAAAAGUUGAAACAUCUUUCCCAUUAAAAACUUUACCGUUUCUAGCAAAUAAAAGUGACUAAACGAUGGCAUUGGAAAAUUUUGCCAAG